rnacentral:rRNA from 1 species
UACGAAGGGGACUAGCGUUGUUCGGAAUCACUGGGCGUAAAGCGCACGUAGGCGGAUGUGUCAGUCAGGGGUGAAAUCCCGGGGCUCAACCUCGGAACUGCCUUUGAUACAGCACGUCUCGAGUCCGGAAGAGGUGGGUGGAAUUCCUAGUGUAGAGGUGAAAUUCGUAGAUAUUAGGAAGAACACCGGUGGCGAAGGCGGCCCACUGGUCCGGUACUGACGCUGAGGUGCGAAAGCGUGGG